UUCCUCUUAGCUCAACGGUGGAGCGUGUUCCGGCAGCCUUGCGCGUCUUUCGAUAAAAUUCGCAACUCGCGUUCAGGCAAGCUCGGGACAAGGUCUGGGUUCGAAUCCCAGAGGGGAUG